rnacentral:rRNA from 1 species
UACGAAGGGGGCUAGCGUUGCUCGGAAUCACUGGGCGUAAAGGGUGCGUAGGCGGGUCUUUAAGUCAGGGGGGAAAUCCUGGAGCUCAACUCCAGAACUGCCUUUGAUACUGAAGAUCUUGAGUUCGGGAGAGGUGAGUGGAACUGCGAGUGUAGAGGUGAAAUUCGUAGAUAUUCGCAAGAACACCAGUGGCGAAGGCGGCUCACUGGCCCGAUACUGACGCUGAGGCACGAAAGCGUGGGGAGCAAACAGA